rnacentral:rRNA from 1 species
UACGUAGGGUGCAAGCGUUAAUCGGAAUUACUGGGCGUAAAGCGUGCGCAGGCGGUAUGUAAGACAGAUGGGAAAUGCCCGGGCUUAACCUGGGAACUGCAUUUGUGACUGCAUGGCUAGAGUUUGGCAGAGGGGGGUAGAAUUCCACGUGUAGCAGUGAAAUGCGUAGAUAUGUGGAGGAACACCGAUGGCGAAGGCAGCCCCCUGGGUCAAGACUGACGCUCAUGCACGAAAGCGUGGGGAGCAAACAGG